rnacentral:tRNA from 1 species
AUAAAUAUAGUUUAACUUAAAAACAUUAUAUUUUCAUUAUAAAAAUAAUACUUAAUUAUUUAUUUAUU